ACAAGGUAAUCCAAGCCCUUCCCUUUUGUGGCCUCACUCUCGUCGCUGUUCCCUGACUCUCGUGGCCUCCCUCUAGCCGUCGACUGGCCCUCUCGUCACCGGAGCACCUAUGAAAUUAUUGCAUCCAUAAAGUAGCCAUGAAGAUGCACCCAACUUUCUAUUUUUCACUCUUCCGAACUUAUUGAAACGACAAGAUAUGAUUAAGAGAAGGCCAUACUGCAGCAAUACAAUCAUACUUUUCAAAAAUACAAGCACAAUGCUCGGGAUUUUAUUUUAGUAUGGAUUUGGAUGACGAUUCACGACUGAGAAACGUAUUCUGGGUAGAUAAUCAAUGUAGGCUAGCAUGCAAGGAGUUUGGUGAUGUGGUUACUUUUGAUACCACUUAUCUUACUAAUAAGUAUGAUAUGCCAUUCGCCCCAUUCGUUGGCGUCAAUCAUCACGGAGAGUCAACAUUACUUGGUUGUGGAUUGGUGUCGAAUGAAGACACCGAUACCUUCGUAUGGUUGUUCAGAACAUGGCUUCAGUGUAUGUAUGGUGAAGCUCUACAUGCCAUAAUUAUGGAUUAAGAUAGAGCAAUGCAAAAUACAAUUGAGAUUAUCCUCCCGAACACAAAGCAUAGAUGAUGUUUGCGGCAUAUUUUAAAAAAGCUCCUAGAAAAGUUUGGAUACCAUGUCGAUAAGAGUUUUAUAUUUGGGGCUAUACAUUCGUUAGUGUAUGAUUCCAUGUCGGAACAAGAAUUUGAAGAAGGUUAGAUGGCGAUGAUUAACACCUAUAGCUUGCAGAAAAAUAAUUUGUUGUCAGGAUUAUAUGAGAAUAAAGGGCGUUGGGUGCCUUGUUUUUUGAAAACCACUUUUUGGGUAGGAAUGUCAACAAUACAUAAACGUGUUAUUCGAUGGAUAUGUGCAUUCGAAGACAUCGUUGAAGCAUUCGUCGAACAGUACGAACGUGCUCUGUGGAAUAAGGUCCAGAAGGAGUUCCAAACUAAUUUCAAGUUGUUCUCUCAAAUGAUACCAUGUGCAAUACAAUUCGAAAUGGAUGAACAAUUUCAGUCAAUUUACACUAUAUCAAAAUUCAAGGAAGUUCAAGAAGAGUUCACAGGUCAGGUCUACUGUACCAUCAUAUCUACGUUGGAAAGAUCUUAUGAUACGACGUACAAUGUAUGGAAGACUAUUAUGUAUGACAGUCAUCACAAGAGAAAAACAUCCGUCGUCUCAUUUGUGAGAGAUAAUUGUGAAGUUGUUUAUAGCUGCCACUUGUUUGAGUUUAGGUGAAUACUAUGUAGGCAUGCAAUAGCAGUUCUAGACUGGAAUGACGUCACAUGUAUUCCGAAGAGGUAUAUUUUGCGGAGAUGGAAGAGGGAUGUUCGUAGAGUACACACGAGAGUUACAGUAAACUAUACUGGGUUAGCUACUACUCCUGCACAAUUGAGAUACGAAGAGAUGUCUAAAGGAUUUGCAUAGGUGGCAGACCUUGCUACAGACGAUGAAAUGCAGUCACGUGUAAUAAUGAAGUAGAUAAAAUGUCAAUGUGAAGAUAUGAUGACCACAAAAUCUGGUGGUUGUAGUAAUCCUAUAUCGCAGUGUACCAUACAGGUGUCCAAUGAUUGUGUGGACGUAUCAAAAUCUGCAAGCGGAAGCAUACUUGAUCCGAAAUUGGCUCGAUGAAAGGAUGCACCUAGGAAAUUUAGAAAAAAAAGCUCAUUGGAGAUGGCAUCGAAGAAAGCAAAGUCUGGCGGGACAUCAACCACAAAUAUGCCACCAAGAAAUAGCAAUACGAAUAUGGCUGAUGAUGCAAUGAACUUUUAGUUGGCUCAGCAAUAUUCCAUGUCGACUCCGACAUCGUACUUGCACAAUGAUGUCCUUGUCACAACUGUCCAUGCAGACACCGUUCUCCCUUUCGCAAAAUUUGCCGUUUGCAAAUUUGGUCCCUCCAGCCGCGACUAAUGUUAUGCAAAGUUCGCAAGGUCAACCAUUGUCGAACUUCUAUCAAAAUUUAUUGGAUCAUGGUGGCAGUGGCUUAUGACUGAAGCGAGGGCUUUAUAUUUUGUACUAGUGGAAUUUUUUGAAAUAUUUGUUUCAUUUCACACACAAGUAAUUGUAUUUUGGCAACAUUGUAGUGCUCUAUUUAUUUCAAAUCACGGGCUGUAUUUUGUACUAUCUUGCUGUAGUAAUUGCUAUGGUUGGUUAUC